ensembl:lncRNA
UGUUGGAAUGAGUGAGCGAGUGACAGUGUGUAUUAAUGUGUGUGUGUGUGUGUGUGUGUGAGUGUGUGUGUGUGUGUGUGUGUGUGUGUGUGUGUGUGUGUGUGUGAGAGUGUUUGCUGAGACGUGUAUUAUGGUUCCUCUUUUUCAUCUCUAUAAACAGGCAGAGUCUGGAUGGCUUCACACGUCUUCAUUAGUCAGGCGGCGAAGAAGUUCCUCUCUAGCCAGUUACAACACUGUACCCGCAUCAGAAUGCUGUUUUUCAGACCAGGAUGAUAACUUUUUUGGGAUUUGUGGUGCUGAUGGCUGCAUUUUCUCAUGGUGUGGACUCCAUCUGUGAUGUUACUCAGGAUGCUGUAUGUAACGGCACCCUAGGACUACCUGUGUACCUACAGCUGAUUAGGGACGCCACAGGACACGAACUGAAGUUAUUCAGUGGAGAUAAGAAUGUUUUUACAUCCAAAUCCUCCAAGACAGUGUUCUUUAACGAGUUCAACAACCCAUCAUACCUCCAGAGGUGGCAGUUUGUUCGUGAUAACGGGACCUUGAUUAUUAACCCUGCAGAGAAGAGAGACGCAGGAACAUACAGAGUGGAGAUCUAUGAGGAGUCAACAGGGAGGAGUGUGGGAGAUCACACAGUUCAGCUGAUCCUUCAAGGUACAAGAGUGGAAACAGAGGAUGUGGUGUAUUCUGGCGUUGCCAUGGCAAAUAGGAGCAGCAGGCAUAACAGCAGGAAGCCACCAGCAGCUGAGGCGUAUGAGUUGGAGUAUGCUGAGGUGUCUGCCUUCAGUAAGCGACGGGGCCCAACUGAGAGUCACAGGCCAGAGGAGUCGGUUGAGUACGGGGAAGUGAGAGUCCACACACCACACUGACCCACAGCAGGCAGACAGUGUGUAUGCUCAAAUGCACCUCGGACAGUGACCUGUGUGUGUGUGUGUGUGUGUGUGUGUGUGUGUGUGUCUGUGUCUGUGUCUGUGUCUGUGCACCUGUGGAGGCAUGUAGCAGAGUGUGUGUCUGUUCCUCACAGCAGGUUAAUGUGGAGGUUAAUGACCACAGCAGACACAACUAACCAAGGGUACUAUAAUGGUGGAAUUAUGUGGUUAAUUAAGGUUACUAUCAUGAUGAAAUUAUGUAGUUAACCAGGGUUACCAUUGUUAGGAAAAAAUACACUGCGUGUUGUUUCGGAGAGGAACCACCAUAUGAAGCAAUUUGUUGUAACAAGGUUGAGUUUUACUGGUAGGUAACGACACAAUACAACUUGCCCAACAGACAGUCAAGUACAGUCAAGCAAGCCGGAGAAUGUGAAUUCUAGAGUCUAAACAGAGGAUGCUCCCACUUUUAAGGCCUAAUUCUGUGAUGUCGCUUCUGGCCCCCUGCACCUCCCACAUACACUGUCUUCCACUCGGCACUUUGUUAUAACACAUGAUUAACUUCUGCUUUUAAUCUGCUGACAUGUAUGUCUGGACAUUUUUGUCUGUGCCCCAGCCUUGACCACCUAAGAUUUAUAUGCUUCUCUCCUCUUCCGGGCCUUUGUUUUAACUUGCUUUCUCCUGUCUGACUCUUUACAUUUCCCCUGCAGAUGUUACUUGCUGUUUUUCUGACUUGUUGGCAGACUGCCCUUUUAUUGUGAUUAUACUUCAUUGAUACAUUUGGUUAAAUGUGAUAUGAUUAGAUAAAUUUGAUAAUUCAAAUGUAUCUUACAUUUCCCUCCUUUGACCUCAUUUAUGAGGUCAACAAUUUCUCCAAGCAUAAGCCACUAAGAAGCCAGGUUACAUGUUCAGGAUGGGUUUUCGUUUUACUUUACACAAUUCUAUCAAUCACCCUCCUUUAGCAUUCUAGCACAGCAUAAGCAAUAUUACACCUCCAGGCUCUACUCUGUCACCGGGAUGCCUGCCCCCCUCUCAGGUCAUCCGCCCCCCAUGGCUUGGUGAGACUGCCAGUGCUUUUCUCUUAGAGGUCACCCUCAGAGCGAAACCUUUCAGUGCCUAAACAGUGUCUAAACUAAUAAAAGUAAGCUAUAAUAGUAAGUACUUCAAACGGUUAGUCUUAUACUAAAAUUAACUAUUAGGUUACAUUUUUUAUACUAUAAUCAACUUUUUGUAAAACUAAAAAAUACAAAAUGCAAUAGUACACCAUUUUAUACUAAAAUCCUGGCACAAUAGCAUUAUGAGCAUGCACAUUUCAGCAAAAAAUCAUCAUUCAUUUUUUUUUUUUUCUUCUUCACCCCCCUACUCUCACAACUGACUUUCCUGCUGUCUACUCUCUCUUUCUGCCUCUUGGGGUUCUCUCCAGUAUUCAUCUUCCAAGUAGUCGAACCAAUCUGCUUGAGCGUCCAAACACUGGUCGCAAAUCACCUCCCUCGGAUCACCACUCUUCCACCACACUCCUUCCUGAAACAGAUUCUCAUCAACCACAUCUUCCCCUCCUUGGUUAAACAAUUCAUUCAAUGUCUUUUUGUGGUGACUCAACAUUUGAGCCACCACAGCUGCUCUCCCCGGUGUCAUAAGGCCAAGAGGUAUCCCAUCCCCAUCAUCAUCAUUAUCAUCAUCAUCAUCAUCAGGUCUGCAAAUUGCCCAAUCCUCAUUUACUAACACCGCUAACCUCUGCAAUUUGGCCAUCUCUUUGUUGUGAAUUUCUGCCCAUUCCCAGCACAUCCAGCCGGCUCCCCUGCCAUAUCCAUACUUACAGUAGGGGUUGCCUAUUGGGCAAUCAGGUGUGUACGGGCCUUCAGGUUUUAUCCAUACCAUGUCAUCCCCAGUCAUCUUAGUGUCAUCCUUACUCUCCGUGGGUUCAUCUGUCUCCCCUUGUCCAUCUCCAUCCUCCUUUUCUGUUGGGGAAAUAAACAGUGUCGCCUCCCAUGUGUUCCCUACUCUACCUACCGCUCCGAAUGGGAGAGUCUCCAUUUGUGCUGCCUGGUACUUAGGUGGUGCGUCUGGGAUCUCAUCUUUUCCAUUAAUUGCUCUUUCUAUGGUGCGAGUAGCUAGAGUUCUCAUACAUGGAAUGCAACAACAUCCACAGGUGGUCAGUAUGGCACCCCCUACUGCUACUCCUAAAAAUACUUGUCCCAAGAACGCUCCCCAUCUUCCAAACUUCUCAUUUAACCAAUCUACCAGAGGAUUUUUUAUUCCAGACUGUUCUUUCAUUUCGUUAGCU